rnacentral:rRNA from 1 species
UGGUGCAUGGUUGUCGUCAGCUCGUGUCGUGAGAUGUUGGGUUAAGUCCCGCAACGAGCGCAACCCUUAUUCUUAGUUGCCAGCGAGUAAUGUCGGGCACUCUAGGGAGACUGCCGGUGAUAACCGGAGAAGGUGGGGAUGACGUCAAAUCAUCAUGCCCUUUAUGACCUGGGCUACACACGUGCUACAAUGGCCUAUACAAAGGGUAGCGAAGCUGUGAAGUGGAGCCAAUCCCAAAAAGUAGGUCUCAGUUCGGAUUGUAGGCUGCAACUCGCCUACAUGAAGUCGGAAUCGCUAGUAAUCGCGGAUCAGCACCGCCGCGGUGAAUUACCGGUUCCCGGCCUU